GACGAACGCUGGCGGCGUGCUUGACACAUGCAAGUCGAACGGAAAGGCCUGCUUUCCCUUGUGGAUUGCGGGUACUCGAGUGGCGAACGGGUGAGUAACACGUGAGUGAUCUGCCCCCAACUUGGGUAUAAGCCUGGGAAACUGGGUCUAAUUCCCGAUAGGACUGCAGGGUGGUGCCUGUGGUGGAAAACGAUUUUCUAGUGGUUGGGGAUGAGCUCGCGGCCUAUCAGCUUGUUGGUGGGGUAAUGGCCUACCAAGGCGGCGACGGGUAGCCGGCCUGAGAGGGUGGACGGCCACAUUGGGACUGAGAUACGGCCCAGACUCCUACGGGCGGCAGCAGUGGGGAAUAUUGCACAAUGGGCGGAAGCCUGAUGCAGCGACGCCGCGUGGGGGAUGACGGCCUUCGGGUUGUAAACUCCUUUCGACCGCGAGGAAGCCACCUGGUUGGAAGGGUGGUGACGGUAGUGGUAGAAGAAGCACCGGCUAACUACGUU
rnacentral:rRNA from 1 species